UGUUCAUGAAAAGUUCAUGAAAAAUUUAAGGUUAUAAAAAGUUCAUGCAAAAGCCCAAAAGUUCAUGAAACAUGAACUUUGUUCAUGAUCUGGCAACCCUGGCGAGGGGUGCAAAUAUGGGUGUGGUGACACCGCCUACCAAAUCAGCUGACAACAUUCUAAUGAAAUUAUAUUCAUUUUUUAUUUCUAUUAGGUUUCUUUCUUUGAUCCUGUUAGAGAUAGACUGACUAAAAACUUUAGGCUCACUAAGUUGCAUUAAAGUAAUGAGUUUCUUCAAUAAUAAGAGGAUUUCAUGAGAAUCUGGAAGUGAUAAAUUUUUGCUAAUGGGCUGUUAUACCACUGGUCAUGUCUCACUUAAGAAUGUGCUUAAGUACUAGAGUCAAAUCUUCAAUCAAAAAUAAUGAAUUAGUAAAACAGACUUAAUUAAGACAAAUGAUAGCUAAUUUUUUAUGUGAAAUAAAAGUUUUCAUUAACUUUCCCUACACUUUGGAGGCAACAGAUCAAAGUUUUUAAUGACCAGGUUGAGGAAUUCCUGUAUAAUCAGUCAAAAACAAUAAAGAAGGAGCAUUUAGGUCAUAUGGAGGAUAGUAACAGUCUUUUUAGCAAGUUAGGUCAACAUGACCUUGUUUCUUUCUCUGAUUUCCUAUUCUAUUAACAUUAUUAGCCACACUUUGAGCGAGCUUUAAAAUGUUUGACCUCAAUGGCAAUGGAGAAGUUGAGUUUGAUGAAUUUGAAAUGGUUCAGUCAGUUCUCCUCAGCUCCACAGCAGUGGGAGUGAGAGGACCACAUCAUCAAUAGUAAUAUGGCUUCAUCUGUGGAGCAUUAGCAAUUCAUUUCUUUGGUAAGAAACUCAACCAGAAAUUGACAAUAAAAAGUUUCAAGAAGUCCAUGCUCUUCUCAAAACUGAGAUAUUUCUGAUGGAAUAUCUAUAUGAUCUUGUUCAUGGGAUGAUAAAGUGAAAGAGACUUUGCUGGCAUGAUCCUGCGUCAUGCCUCACUCAGUGAACAAAAGAAGAAGCAAAUGGUUGGACCCAAACCUAAUCCGGGUGGUAAUUUUGGAGAUGUUAAAUUCUUUAAUCAUUUGAUGGGUUGUUUCUCUGACAUAGAUACAGCACUGAGUAUGUGCUCUGCAGCUGGAAUCUCUAUAACACCUGCUGAGCUCGAUGAAGCUUGUAAGGCUGUCACUGGUUCAUCUGUCAGUAGUCAUGUUGUGGAUGUCCUUUCACAAUAUUUGAUGAAAAUAAUGAUGGUAAAUUAAGUAGAAAGGAGUUUGUACACGCAUUAAAAUCAAGAAAUUUGCGUGGUUUGCAAAAGUCACGUGAAUUAGGACUAGCCAAACUAAUGAACUCGGUUGUGGCUUGCAAAGCAGUUAAAGACAAAUUAGAAAAAAGGAUUGAAGCUUGAGUUGGUACUAUGAUGUAGUCAGUCAAGUCAGGAUUAUAAACUACUUUAUAUUAUAACAGAAAUGUCUUUUAGUUAUGGCAGAAUAGAAUAAUUAUUAUAUAAUUUAUUUUUUAUUACACCAUUCUGUUUGAGUAGCAACACUA